rnacentral:rRNA from 1 species
GGCUUUUGUGGAAUGUAAAAAGUUCUACGAAUAAGGACUGGGUAAGACUAGUGCCAGCCGCCGCGGUAAUACUAGCGGUCCAAGUCGCAGCCAUUCUCUAUUGGGUCUAAAACAUCCGUAGCUUGCUUGAUAAGUUUUCUGUGGAAUCUCAUAUCUCAAGUAUAAGAAUUGUGGAAAAUACUGUCAAGCUAGAGACCGGGAGACGUAAAGAGUACGUCUAAAGUAGCGGUAAAAUGUGUUGAUCUUAGGCGGACUGACGAUAGCGAAGGCACUUUACGAGAACGGUUCUGACAGUAAGGGAUGAAGGCUAGGGGCGCAAAACGGAUUAGAUACCCGUGUAGUCCUAGCAGUAAACACUGCACACUAAACCUUGUGAUCUCUUCGAGAGAUUGCAGGGCUGCAGGGAAGCCGAAGAGUGUGCUACCUGGGAAGUAUAGUCGCAAGGCUGAAACUUAAAGGAAUUGGCGGGGAGACACUACAACGGGUGACGCGUGCGGUUCAAUUAGAUUAUACACCGUGAACCUCACCAGGAGCGACAGCAGAAUGAAGGUCAGUCUAAAGGGCUUACCUGACACGCUGAGAGGGGUUGCAUGGCCGACGUCAGCCUGUGCUGUGAGGCGAUCUGUUAAAUCAGAUAACAGGCAAGACCCACAUCUUUAUUUAC